rnacentral:rRNA from 1 species
UACCAGCACCCCGAGUGGUCGGGACGAUUAUUGGGCCUAAAGCAUCCGUAGCCGGUCCUACAAGUCUUCCGUUAAAUCCACCUGCUUAACAGAUGGGCUGCGGAAGAUACUAUAGAGCUAGGAGGCGGGAGAGGCAAGCGGUACUCGAUGGGUAGGGGUAAAAUCCGUUGAUCCAUUGAAGACCACCAGUGGCGAAGGCGGCUUGCCAGAACGCGCUCGACGGUGAGGGAUGAAAGCUGGGGGAGCAAACCGG